rnacentral:rRNA from 1 species
GUCGAACGAAGCGCUCGGACGGAGUCUCUUCGGAGAGGAAGGCCGGGCCACUGAGUGGCGGACGGGUGAGUAACGCGUGGGCAACCUGCCCUGCACAGGGGGACAACAGCCGGAAACGGCUGCUAAUACCGCAUAAGCGCACAGCUUCGCAUGAAGCGGUGCGAAAAGCUUUGGCGGUGCAGGAUGGGCCCGCGUCUGAUUAGCUUGUUGGCGGGGCAACGGCCCACCAAGGCGACGAUCAGUAGCCGGCCUGAGAGGGUGGACGGCCACAUUGGGACUGAGACACGGCCCAGACUCCUACGGGAGGCAGCAGUGGGGAAUAUUGCACAAUGGGGGAAACCCUGAUGCAGCGACGCCGCGUGAGCGAAGAAGUAUUUCGGUAUGUAAAGCUCUAUCAGCAGGGAAGAAAAUGACGGUACCUGAGUAAGAAGCUCCGGCUAAAUACGUGCCAGCAGCCGCGGUAAUACGUAUGGAGCAAGCGUUAUCCGGAUUUACUGGGCGUAAAGGGAGCGUAGGCGGCCUGCCAAGUCUGAAGUGAAAUACCGGGGCUCAACCCCGGGGCUGCAUUGGAUAACUGGGGGGGUGGAGUGCCGGAGAGGCAGGCGGAAUUCCUAGUGUAGCGGUGAAAUGCGUAGAUAUUAGGAGGAACACCAGUGG